GGUUUUGUGGUCCGGUGGUUAAUGUGUUGUUUGAUGAACUUAAGGGUCGUGGGUUCGAGUCCCACCGCAUGCA
rnacentral:tRNA from 1 species